rnacentral:rRNA from 1 species
AACGUAGGGCGCGAGCGUUAUCCGGAAUUACUGGGCGUAAAGCGCGGGCAGGCGGUCGGUCAAGUGGGAUGUGAAAGCCCACGGCUCAACCGUGGAGGGUCAUUGGAAACUGGGAGACUUGAGUGCAGAAGAGGAAAGUGGAAUUCCAUGUGUAGCGGUGAAAUGCGUAGAGAUAUGGAGGAACACCAGUGGCGAAGGCGACUUUCUGGUCUGUAACUGACACUGAGGCGCGAAAGCGUGGGGAGCAAACAGG